UAACAAGUUUAGGGAUCUAGA
rnacentral:miRNA from 1 species